ACUACCAGGCCAUAAACUUUUGGCCUGUUUAUCGUUUGAGAAGAAUCGGGAAAUCUUCUUUACCAUGUAGUUUAUGUAUAAUUAGUGUGCAAAACAGGAUAGAAGCUUGGUGGGAAUCUGAAAAUGAUUCAAACAGCGAACCCAGAUUAUGCCACCAUGAAACUCACCACUUCCAGUGGCUCAGAGGCUCCUUUCCUGUGAGGAUUGACCAGUUUGCCCAAAAUCCAGUCCAUGAUGUCUUCAAUCACAACUCUUACUGAGGGCCGGAGUGGAGAGGAGGAUGUGUGUGGAUUGGGCCACGUCAGCAGCAUGCAGGCUGUUAUGUGUGUCUAGUCCCAGCAGCUAAGAGAGCAGCUUGAUGAUGGCUCACUCUCCCUCUCAGCACCAGAAAAGGGCCAGCUCUUAGUCUCCAUGCUCCAGGAUGGAUGGAUGGAUGGCGGACUGAGGAUAAAAUAGGCGUUGUAGCCGGGCUAUAUGAGGAGGAGAAUCCAGCAGGCUCGAUGGAUCGACAGGAGCGGCAGCAGCUGGAGCCGUGUGCUGGGGACUCUCAGCGCACUGAUGAAUAAUGGAGAAGAAGCGAGGAGGGGGGAAAAACGGCGAUGGAGACAGGAGGAGGAGGAGAAGGAGGAGGAGGAGGAGGAGGGAGUGAGGCGGUGAUGUUCAUCUGACUAGAGGGGGGGUUCCUCCACUGGAUUUGUCUUGCUUCGCUACUCUCAUUGCUGUGGCGCUCUCGCUGCCCCUCCUACCCUGCCUUUUUCUCGCUCUCUCUCCAUGUUUCUCUCUUUUUCGUUCCCUCCCUCCCUCCCUCCCGCUUCUGUCUCUUUUUUUUCCCCUGCUGUAGUCUGCCAGCCCCAGCAACACGCUCUAUUCAGAACACAUGAUUUGACAAAGUGGGGAGAAGGGGGGAGCCCUAAUUACAGCUUGGCAUUGGUGUAUACAUGAGGUUCAGAAGGGAUGCUUGAGUGAUUGACGUAUAAUAUCCAGACUCCCCAUCUCUCAUCUCCUUCCCAGCCCUCCAACCUCUGCAGAUAUAAUCCAUCCUCUUUAAUUCCCGGCCCCUGUAAUUCCCUCUUUUGUUUUUAUGAAGUCAGCCAUUGUGAAGGAAUGUCAUCGAGCCGUGCAGCUAUGCCUCCCCUCUACAGUAAAACAAUGAGAGCUGAGGAAGGGGAUGGGGCACAUUCUGAGGAGUGUGAAUGCACAGCGACUGUAUUUUUAUCGCCAUUAUCUCUAUUAUCAUCCGUUCUCCUGACAUCCCCGAGUGUGGUGGCCAUUGUGGAGAACUCACAAGCCCCGUUCAUUAUCUGCAUCCCAAUUCCUAAUAUUAGAUGCUGUCGAGGGUGUCUGUGGAGGGCUAUUUUUAACAAGACAACAUGAGAGUGGGGAAGACGGUCAGUGAGGGUGGAAAGAGAGAAAUAAAAAAAAAAAAAGGAGAGAUGGGAGAUAAUUGCAUCCUUCGCCAAUUUAGGUGACAACAGCCUCUCUCUCUCUCUCUCUCUCUCUCUCUUGCUCGCUCGCUCGCUCUCUGCCUGUGAGUAAGUGUGUAUGCCAAUUACCAGAACACCCCAGCGCCAUGGCAACAGCAUCAGGCGGCCGAGUGUGAGGCUGUUGUGAGAGGAGGAGAGAGGAGAGGAGAGGCUUCCCCCUUUCCUUCCCAGGCAGACAUGUGGUGUAGCUGCUGAGCUGUCACGAGGACACACCACACACGUCUCGGCCCCGUCUCUCCCUCACUCGCCACCACUUACAUGUCAAUUUCUCUCCCGGCUGCCACUUGCCAACACAGUCAUCAAUCUCUCUGUCUGCCUGCCUCGCUGCCAGAAUCAAUGGACUGUCCUUGGAGCAGGUGUCGAUACGGCUGCCGCGCACAAGGCUGGGGCCACCUGCCUGGAAUACACGGUUACAUCAGCAAAUCCGGCCAAUCUCCGAGGCGCGUUUUGUGCCUCUGUCAAUUUAGUCACGAUUUGUGUUCGUGAAAAACCACGCGAGGAAAGGCUGCGGUACCUUCGCUAAUGAGAAAAUACCCAUGGCCCUCGCCACUUCAGAGCCAAUCCAUGGGAAACCGUAGACAGAAGUUCCCAGAGAACCCUCUCGGCCCGAUGUUUGUGUUGGUGUGUAUGAGUUUGGAAAGAUGAGGGGGAGAUCAAAAGCUUCCCCGAGAGGAUUCCGGAUUAUCCUCCCACUGAGGGAAAGAACCAGAAGCCGGGAGGGAGGACGCAAGAAAAGAGCGGAAAAAAAAUAAUAAAAUACAUUUUAAAAAAAAGAAAGCGAGGAGGCAGCUCUUUAUAUAAUAGCUCACUGCAUAAUAUAUAAAGAAACCAGAAAUAACAGCGGGGGAUGUCUCUCUGCAAUGUGUUGAAGAGCUAUGCUUCCCCACAGGCUGAAAGAAAUGCCUCUGUACACUCACACAGCAGCAGCAGCCUAAAGAUGCUGUUAUCUACAGUCAGGCACAGUGGAUGCUGACAUGUCUCACACAUGUUUAACACACCGGUUGCCUGUGUGUUUCAGAGCGAGUGUGUUAUGGCGAGUGCACGUUUUAUUCUUAUUGUUCGUCCGGGGGGGAAGAGGGGAAGCCUCGUUGCCUCCCACUGACACCGUGACACUGGAGGGAGAUUAGCGUCUCAGAGCCCCCGUGGGUGUCUCUUUCUCACAUACCCACAUGCACAUCCUUAUUCCAUUCUUUCUCCCAUUCACUUCCUCCCAGCCUCGAGCGUCAUUUCUGUUCUCCCGGUCUGUGUCAGAGAAUGGGACCGGUUUCACCCUCAUGUGGUAGAUUAUUGUUUGCUUUAAAUCAUCAGCUAUCUUCAUCUGAGCUGGUUCAGAUUGAAGUGGUGCCUCUGGGCCACUAGUGGGUGCACUAUGCUCAGUCUGCUGUUCCACAGCCUGCUCAGUGUUGAGACAGCGCUGACCCCUUAAACCCUACAGGGACAGACACUUGACUUAUAUUAACCUGUCCUCUUUUCCUAUUAGAUUUAAAAACAUGCAAACAAAUAGCUAGGUUAGCGAUUAUUUCACGAAUCUAAAAGAACACUGGUGACCAUGUGUAUGUUUUGAAGAGCAAACCACCGCACGACAAGAUUACACUUUUUGACCUGAACAUUUUUUUCUUUUAACGACUCUUAAUGGAUCACCAUUACCCCACAUCCUUUAAAGUCAGUUUGUUUAUUCAGUGAUGAAAACAAAGAGAGUUUGUUCACCUAGUUUGUAUAGGCGUAAAACAUCCGUCAAUGAAGAUCUUUGUCUUCUGAUUAAUUGUCUUCCCCCAAAUUUCUAGUUACACCUUUAAAAGCCGAUUAAAACGAAUCAGAAUCACUAUGAUUCUGUUUCCUUCUUUCGUCAGUUUAUCAGUGGAAUCUCACAUUUACCUUAUGCCUUAGAUAAGACAAGAGGCUUUGAUUUAACGUUGUCAGGUUUAAUGUUUAGUAAAACACCAAGCAAAGAAAUAAAACCUUCAAAACCUGGAAUCCGAUACAAUGCUCCUCCGAGGGAGGCGCUUACUUAACGAUCAGCAGAGACUAAGCGGCAAACCUGCAGUGGUUGUGGUUUAUCUCUCCCUCGCUUGGGCAAAAAUAUGACGCAGGUAGUAUCAUCAGCGUUAUGGCAAAGACUCGCAGUGACAUAACUCUGUGAAGAUCAGGGAACCUACCUACGUAUGAAACUGUGCGUACCUCGGCUGAGGCUGCAAACACCUCAACUAAGAGACGGCCUGACAACCUCUCACUUCCUCUGACUCACUCACUCAUGCUGAUGUGAGUCUGUGUGAGCAUGAGUAAAUGCAGUUUGUCUGAUGCAGUAAGAUGUAUUGGAAAAAGAACUACUGAGGAUCCCGAAGGACAUAAGCUCCGGUUGCCUCAAAAGCAGAAAACACCGACAUGUUAAAUACAACACAGGCAUCACUACACCGAGAAAUACAACAGUCAAAUGACUGCUCGACUCAUACAGAAAUGAACAUCAUCACGUCAAACAGAAGUGGCAUGUAUUAUUGUAAAUUCCCAGAGAGAUUUCUUUCACUGUCUGCAUCCUGUUUGCCACGACCUCUCUCUUUCUCGCCACAUGACCUGAGUAUUCAGAAAAAGGAAAGAACAAAAAACUCCAGGCCUUGGUACUAAUACAGAACUUACCACCUGCCUGGGCCUCAGGUGACUCAGAAACCAGUCAUUUUGCUUAUCAACUCAACCCCUUCCUUUAAUUCUGUUUCGAUCAGAAAAACAAACACGUACUUAUUUCGGUGCGUUUCGCUGGACUUUGCUCUACGUCAGUUAAUAACUUGGAAAGAAAUCAGUUUAACUCUGUUUCCAAGGACAGCAAAACUGCAUCUGCAAUUUUAUAGUGUAAAAAACAAAAUUCUUACAGAACUGAAAAGUCAAGAGAUGGAAAUGCCGUAUCUGAUCAACGCUGUAUUUGACUAUAAUGUUUUAGUGAGAGACCAAAGAGAGCCCUCUCAGUGUGUUACAGUAAAGCCACGACUGGUCUGCCUGACUGGUUUCUCAACGCAUUUCAAAUUCAGCAUUGUAAGAAAUGAUGCACGGCAGGAUGCAUGCGACACAGCCUGUUGCAGGAACCUCUGAAAACGUGCAUAUAGGUAUAAAUAGGAAAAUGAAUAAGUUAAGAAAAGAACACGGCUUUCAAAUCUACAGCUCCUAAUCACACGCCUUCAAAAAGAAGAAAAGGCGCUUAAGUACGUAAGUCAGCAUCCACAGCAGUUAAAACAAAUUAAUGCCGACCACAAAGCACAAAAAGGAUCACCUGAAACUCUGUUGCAGCGUGUGGACUCACCAUGUUGAGCAAGCGACAAACAUUUAAGACUCAAGAACUACACACAAAGUCUACACAAAGUCUUACAGUCCAUCAAGAUGCCACCAAAAGUUGGACUGGUUACCAACUGAUUUAAAAUUACACCCCAAAAACCCGCAAAAAUCCAA